CCAUAAUAUUAUUAGAUGGCAUCAUUUGAUAAUUAAAACUGCGGUGGUGAAAGAUGGGCAUGCGUCCUAUUAGCUAGUGGAGUGGUAACGGCACCCCAAGGUUACGAUAGGUAGGGGUCCUGAGAGGGAGAUCCCCCACACUGGUACUGAGACAGGGACCAGACUCCUACGGGAGGCAGCAGUGAGGAAUAUUGGUCAAUGGUCGGAAGACUGAACCAGCCAUGCCGCGUGCAGGAAGAAUGCCUUAUGGGUUGUAAACUGCUUUUAUAUGGGAAGAAUAAGGCGUACGUGUACGUUGAUGACGUACCAUAUGAAUAA
rnacentral:rRNA from 1 species